UCCUAUCGCCAGAUAUCGCGACGUAUC
rnacentral:sRNA from 1 species